rnacentral:rRNA from 1 species
CCUACGGGAGGCAGCAGUGGGGAAUAUUGGACAAUGGGGGCAACCCUGAUCCAGCCAUGCCGCGUGUGUGAAGAAGGCCCUCGGGUUGUAAAGCACUUUCAGUGAGGAAGAACGCCUGGUGGUUAAUACCCAUCAGUAAAGACAUCACUCACAGAAGAAGCACCGGCUAACUCCGUGCCAGCAGCCGCGGUAAUACGGAGGGUGCGAGCGUUAAUCGGAAUUACUGGGCGUAAAGCGCGCGUAGGUGGCUUGAUAAGCCGGUUGUGAAAGCCCCGGGCUCAACCUGGGAACGGCAUCCGGAACUGUCAAGCUAGAGUGCAGGAGAGGAAGGUAGAAUUCCCGGUGUAGCGGUGAAAUGCGUAGAGAUCGGGAGGAAUACCAGUGGCGAAGGCGGCCUUCUGGACUGACACUGACACUGAGGUGCGAAAGCGUGGGUAGCAAACAGGAUUAGAUACCCGUGUAGUC